rnacentral:rRNA from 1 species
CGCGUAGGCGGGCUCGCAAGUCCGGGGUGAAAGCCCCCAGCUCAACUGGGGAAGCGCCUUGGAUACUGCGAGCCUCGAGGGAGGUAGGGGCGUGCGGAACUUCCGGUGGAGCGGUGAAAUGCGUAGAUAUCGGAAGGAACACCGGUGGCGAAAGCGGCGCGCUGGACCUCUUCUGACGCUGAGGCGCGAAAGCCAGGGAGCAAACG